GGAAAAUGUCCCUAUAAAUUAGCACUAGUAACAGAUAUUGGUCAUAUCGUCACUGAUAUUUCUCUCUCCCAAAAAAGAAACUCAUUUCAAUUUUCAUCAUUUUGCUUGUGUUCACAGAUAAGGCAGACAGACACAGAGCUCUAAUUCAUUUGCUUAAGACAGGGAUAGAAAGAUGACGUCUGUCCAAACUGCUUUGACAUCACUCCUGUGCAAGAAUGUGAACCAUCAUCCACAAGUAAACUUUCCAAACAGUUCCUUCUUGCCAAGGUUCGAGUUGACGGGGCAAGUUGCUGUUAUGAGGAGAAGGGAGACAUGUUUCAAUUAUAUUUCAAGCCCGAGAGCAACACUAACCUUUGAUCCUCCCAGUACUAGUAACAACGAGAAGACAAAGCCAAAGCACACGGUUGAUCCUAAUGCUCCUGAUUUCCUGCCACUUCCAUCAUUUGAAGAAUGCUUCCCAAAAAGCUCCAAAGAAUACAGUGAAGUUAUGCAUGAAGAAACAGGUCAUGUGCUCAAAGUCCCAUUUCGACGUAUCCAUCUUUCCGGGGAUGAACCACAUUUCGACACUUACGAUACCAGUGGUCCUCAGAGUGUAAACCCGGGUGUUGGACUUCCUAAGCUGCGCAAGGAGUGGAUUAACAGGAGGGAGAAGUUAGGAGGACCAAGGUACACUCAAAUGUUCUAUGCUAAGCAGGGAAUCAUAACUGAGGAAAUGGCAUACUGCGCUGCCCGAGAAAAAAUGGAUCCAGAGUUUGUGAGGUCAGAAGUUGCUCGGGGCCGUGCGAUCAUCCCUUCAAACAAGAAGCACCCCGAGUUGGAGCCUAUGAUAGUAGGAAGAAAGUUCUUAGUGAAAGUCAAUGCCAACAUCGGAAACUCUGCUGUUGUAAGCUCAAUUGAAGAAGAAGUUCACAAGCUUCAAUGGGCAACAAUGUGGGGUGCAGAUACUAUUAUGGAUCUGUCUACUGGUCGUCACAUCCACGAGACUCGUGAGUGGAUCUUGCGUAAUUCUGCUGUACCAGUAGGCACUGUGCCAAUUUACCAAGCACUGGAAAAGGUAAACGGCAUUGCUGAGAAUCUGAGUUGGGAAGUUUUCAGAGAGACGUUAAUUGAACAAGCUGAGCAGGGUGUUGAUUACUUCACAAUUCAUGCCGGAGUCCUUCUUAGGUACAUCCCACUGACCGCAAAACGGAUGACCGGGAUCGUUUCUCGUGGAGGCUCCAUUCAUGCAAAGUGGUGCUUAGCUUAUCACAAGGAGAAUUUUGCUUAUGAACAUUGGGAUGAGAUACUUGACAUCUGUAAUCAGUACGAUAUAUCGUUAUCAAUUGGUGAUGGACUGAGACCUGGUUCAAUUUAUGAUGCAAAUGACACCGCUCAGUUUGCUGAGCUCUUGACUCAAGGGGAGCUGACUCGCCGAGCUUGGGAAAAGGAUGUACAGGUUAUGAACGAAGGGCCCGGGCACGUUCCAAUGCAUAAAAUUCCCGAGAACAUGCAAAAACAGCUCGAGUGGUGCAAUGAAGCACCAUUUUACACUCUUGGACCAUUGACAACUGAUAUAGCUCCCGGAUAUGAUCAUAUCACCUCAGCCAUUGGUGCAGCCAAUAUAGGAGCACUUGGGACUGCACUUCUGUGUUAUGUCACUCCAAAAGAGCAUCUUGGUCUGCCUAAUCGUGAUGAUGUGAAGGCGGGGGUAAUAGCAUAUAAGAUAGCUGCUCAUGCAGCUGAUCUUGCCAAAGGUCACCCACUUUCCCAAGCUUGGGAUAAUGCACUAAGCAAGGCACGAUUUGAGUUCAGAUGGAUGGACCAAUUCGCUUUGUCAUUGGACCCUGUCACUGCAAUGUCCUUCCAUGAUGAAACUUUACCAGCCGAUGGUGCUAAAGUUGCACAUUUCUGCUCUAUGUGUGGGCCUAAGUUUUGUUCUAUGAAAAUAACUGAAGAUAUAAGGAAGUAUGCUGAAAAUCAUGGUUAUGGAAGUGCUGAGGAAGCCAUUCAGCGUGGCAUGGAUGCUAUGAGUGCAGAGUUUCAAGCUGCUAAAAAAACCAUUAGUGGGGAACAACAUGGUGAGGUUGGCGGUGAGAUCUACUUGCCAGAAAAUUAUAUCAACUCCUUGAAGAUCUAAAGGAAUAUAUAAAGUUCGGAAGCUGGCUCAGAGCUUUCUGAAGUGAUCACAACUACAUUGGCCAGUCAAGGAGGAGGUAGUAGGAGCUUCAUUAUCAAGUGUUAGCUUCAAAUCGAUGACUGAUCAGGCUGAGAAAGUCCCUUUGAACCUGAACAGGAUAAUUCCUGCGUAGGGAGUGUGCAAUUUUCUUUUGUUGCUUGCAUAGGGAUGGAGAUUCUCCCAUGGUUCAAAAUUCAGGCUGAUCCUGUCCUGUGCCAGGACCAGUUUAUUCACCAUCUCUUCAAGACACCAUCUUGUAUUUUUUUCUGGUCCCACCCGUUGUCCUGUACCAUAUUGAGGCUUGACUAAAUAUGGAUUCGCACAGAGAAGUCCCACAUCGGGGAGUAUACCGUUUCCUAACAAAGGUAAUUCUAUAACCAGUAAGGCUCGAAUUCGAGACCUUUGAUUAAGGAUGAAGGAGUACUUACCUCUCUACUACAACCAUUGUUGGUAAGACAAAAUUUGGAUGCCUCUGAGAAGCGACUGGCUACUUUAUAUUUGACCAACUUUCUCCUGGUUGGACAAACAUGAUAUCAAACAAAAAUGUUUAAUACACAAUAAGUAAAAAGGUAAAUUACGUUGGACGCUCUCAAAUAUACCGACUCAAUUGCAAAUACACCUCAUAUAGUAGGAGCCUUUGGUGUAACUUACCUAAAUAAAAGAUAAAGUGCACUUAAAGAUCAAUCGGGAAAGUCCUUGCAGUAGUAUUGAAAUUCAAAUCACGAACCAGCUACCACUAGCAAUGUUAAUAGAACAGAAUUGUGGAUCUAGAGUCAACGGAUUCUGGUUCAGGAUAAGUGUCUUGCUAUAUGUAUAUACUUCAUUUUUAGAGAAAAGUAUUGAAAACAACUCCAAUCUUGGUGAGGAUUAUUAUUCAAGUCACUGAACUAUGACUCUAGUAUUAAAAACAUCCCUACACUUCAUUAAAUGAAUUUAAAAGCGCCUCCAUUUUACCAUAUCUAACAACAUAUGUUUACUCAAGAUUGAGCUAGCCUUGUCUGAUGUAUUAUUUAUAUGGGAUCCACACAGAUAUUUAAAGCAACAACAACAAAAAAGACAUUUCGUAAAUAAACCCAGUACAUUUAAAAUCCACACAGAUAUUUAAAGCAACAACAACAAAAAAGACAUUUCGUAAAUAAACCCAGUACAUUUAAAAUCCACACAGAUAUUUAAAGCAACAACAACAAAAAAGACAUUUCAUAAAUAAACCCAGUACAUUUAAAAUCCACAUAGGUAUUUUUCCCUCACAUCUCUAGAACUCCUUUCCUCCCUUCAUAACUCUCAAAUUUCCCAACAGAAUCCUUUGAUUUCUCUUUCCAUAAUUGAAGGGUUUUAGAUUAAGUAUCAUAGAGAAAAGUGUUGAUAAUAAUCCCCAUUCACUUUGAUUUGUUAUUUAUUUAGUGCGGAUGAUUCUUAUUAAAUUUCUUUUUGUCAUCGCCGUCCAACCAUGGAACUCUUAACAACGUCGAAAAUCCACAUUUUCGAAAUAUAGUCAUCAAAACAAUUGAAACUUAAGAAAUUUAACAAUUAAAUAAGAUGGUUAAAAAAAGUUUUGAGUUCAAAUUUGGGGUGUAUUUUAAUGGAGAAAAACUUAAUAUGAAGAAGAGCGAUUAUGGUAGCAGUUGCGGUGGGCUGAAAAUAGAAGGGGAAAGUUAAAAAUAGUUUUUUAACCGUUUAAUAUUUAUGUGGCUUAUUUUUACGCAGCUCAUGCCUCCAUAGGAGUUUAAGACCAUAUGCUAAGCCACGUGGCAUCUUAGGGGCGUAUUUUAUGGCAAGUAAUAAUUCAUGUCAAAUUUAUGGGUGUUUGCAAUACUUCACUCUCAUUUUAACGUGCAUUCAUAUACAUUUCUCGAGCCAAAAGCAAACACACCGCUAAUAUAGUGGAAAUUCUACAAGAUACAAGGGGUGUCAAUGUAGGAGUGUUUGGUGUAAUUCGCCCUAAAUAAAAAAGUAAAAAUUACAAAAAAAAAAAACAACUGUUAUGAUAUUGAUGUAUACCAGUUGUAGUGAAUGUCUAUCAAGAUCUAGCAGGAUUUGAAGUGUCUAUCUUUUACUCAAAAACUAGGAGUAAAUUUCCUCUAUAAAUAGAAGAGCUUCCUUCAUUGUAAAUCAUCGCUCAAGAGAAAUAACAAUUACUCUCCUCUCUCUUUA